CGACCCCAGGUCAGGCGGNAUUACCCGCUAAGUUUAA
rnacentral:rRNA from 1 species